rnacentral:rRNA from 1 species
AUUGAACGCUGGCGGUAUGCUUAACACAUGCAAGUCGAACGGUAACAGGCCUUCUGGCGCUGACGAGUGGCGGACGGGUGAGUAACGCGUAGGAAUCUGCCUCAUAGUGGGGGACAACGUGGGGAAACUCACGCUAAUACCGCAUACGCCCUACGGGGGAAAGCGGGGGAUCUUCGGACCUCGCGCUAUGAGAUGAGCCUGCGUUAGAUUAGCUAGUUGGUAGGUAAAGGCCUACCAAGGCGACGAUCUAUAGCUGGUCUGAGAGGACGAUCAGCCACACUGGGACUGAGACACGGCCCAGACUCCUACGGGAGGCAGCAGUGGGGAAUAUUGGACAAUGGGCGCAAGCCUGAUCCAGCAAUACCGCGUGUGUGAAGAAGGACCUUAGGGUUGUAAAG